rnacentral:lncRNA from 1 species
UUUUUUUUUUUUUCUCAUUUAUCUACUCCCUGGCUGGUAACGAAACCUGCUUGGCAAUUAGCUGUUAGAUUUGUCACACCCAAUUUAACACUUCCAUUAAUUAUAAAAAGUAAAGUCCAAAUGUGAAAUCAUUUAAGCCUCAUCUACUUUUUGCUGGUAGGAUGCCCUGAGUCCCACUGGGUGGAGCCUAGCACUGCCAACACCUUGACAGCUCACCUGCUGUCAGGUCUGCUGAGACAGGCCUGGCUAUCUUUCUGCCAAGUCAAGGAAGAGGCAUCCUGGAAAACCAAAAAUCCAGCUCCUUUGUUCCACAAAAAAAAAAAAAAAAAAACGAUUCAUUCUUAAAAGUCGCCAUGUAACCAAGUAUAUUCAACUCAUAUCCCGGCAUCUAGCCAAACAGAAACAGAUUCAAGGACACAGAGAAUAGACUAGCGGUUGCCAGGGGGAGGCGGGAGAGGUGGGAUGGACGGGGAGUUUGGGGUCAGUAGAUGCAAACUAUUACAUUUAGAAUGGAUAAACAAUGAGGUCCUGCUGUACAGCACAGGGAACUAUAUCCAGUCUCUUGGGAUGCACCAUGAUGGAAAAUAAUAUGAGAAAAAGAAUAUGUGUGUGUGCGUGUGUGUGACUGGGUCACUACACUGUACAGCAGAAAUUGACUCCAUACUGUAAGUUAAUUAUAUUCUAAUAAAAAAUGAAUUUAAAAAAAGAGAUAACUCUCCCACAUGAAAAGACAAGGAGAGUCAACUGGGGCUAUCACUAGUUCAGAUAUUAUUUGUUGGCUGUCUCAGAGUGUAAGUGCACAGACAGCAAAUACACUAUUUGACUCUUCCAGAGCCCCCUGAAACAGAAGCAUGUACGGAAAAGAACAUAAAAAUCUCUGAAGAAGAAGAAAUGUCAAAUAUCAGGUCUGGGUUCUAAGACAAGUGCUGAUGCUCAAUGCUCACCUGAAAAGCAGAGGUUUCUGGCUAGAUUGUCUGGUCAUUUCAACAGCCAAUGGAGUUACCAUUUUUCUGUACAGCUUCCACGGUUCCAGCCCAGCCCUACUGAUUCCAAAUCUCCAGGGUUAGGGUCUGGAUGCCUCUGUGUGUGUGUUGCUUCUGAGGUAAAGCGAUAAUCAACCACACUUAGAAACUACUGAUCUACAGAACCUAAAACCUGAAAUCAAAUACCCUCAGAAGCCAGGCAGUUCAAUGAGCAAAGCAGAUGAGUAAAAGACACAGGUAGUGAUGGCGCAUGCAUGCAAAUUGUAUUAGAGAAACAAACACUGCGGGCCACAUCUGAUCUGCUGCUCUUGACGUUGCUGUUUUUGUAUUUCGGUUAUAACUUCUUGAAGCUGGGCACCAAAUCUCAUUCAUUUCUGUCCCUGGUAUAGUGUGGACGAGACAGUAGGUUCAAUCAAUGUUUGCUAAACUAUUGACGAAAAUGAGGGGAAAUCCCAACUCUUCUGACGUGAUUAAAAGAACUGCCAGGAAAACGCCUUCUCAUUCAUUCAUGCAACCAACAUGAAUUACACACCUACUACGUAUAUAAGGCUCUAAGGACACUGAAUUGAAUAAGAUAGACAAGACUUCUGUCCAUGUGGGGUUGGCACUGGGACAGAAGGAGAAAGAGACAGGUAAUAAAGAUGCAUAAAUAAGCCAAUUUCAGACAGUGAUGUUAUUCAGAAUUAAAAUAGCUGCAUUUAGUCUCACAGGUGGUUAAGCCACACAGAAGUCAGUGGAGCUGAAGAAUACCCACUUGAUGGGGGGCAGAGGAGGCGUGGGGGUUGAGAAUUACAUCACCUGAGCUCUGCCACCAUGCCAGUGGAGGGACAAAUCAUUUAAUCGAUCUGGAGGAAUUAGGUGAAAUGGUCUCUAAGACUUCCCGGCCCUAAGAUUUUAUAUUCUAUUAGUAAAGACACAGGAGCCAGCAUUUCACAUACCGGGAUGGUCAUGCCCAGUCUAGUGUCCAAAUACUUUGAGGUCCCGCCCCUUCAUGGUUGGCUCAAGAUGUUUACACGUUAUUAUAGACUGAAAAUAUCUUCCAAGCGUUUCACGAGUCCACCUCUACAGUUGACCUAAGGCAAAACCACAGGCUCAGAUAUUUACUGCCACAGUGCAAUGGCUACCGGCAUGCCCAGACGAUAUUAUGAAGCUGGCAGAGUCGCAGGCCCUAGGGCAAGGGAAACCAAAUAUCAAGUUCAAGGUGAUUAAGGAAUCCAGAAAUUAGUCAAAUUCCCUCAUUCAACAAACAUUAAUAAGAGACUGCAGGAAACACUGGUCUGGUUCCUAAGGAAAACACACACACACACACACACACACACACACACACACACACACACACACACACACACACACACACACACACACACACACACAGUCUCCUCCCAUAAUCCUAAGCACUCGGGUCUGGAGCAGAGAUACUGAACCUGGGUUUCAGCGGCUCCAGGAACCUCAUGCAAUUAAAUGCCAAAUUAAGGAGAGUUUUUAUUAAAUUCCCAACAGGGUCGAUGAUCCAAACUAGAGACAUUACACAAGACACCUGAGGCAAGGACUCUCUUUGACUUAUGCGAAUCCCCAUUGUAUAAACAAGGAAACUGAGGUUUCGGGAAGGGAACAUGCCAAGACGCAGCCAAGAAGCGGGCCCGGCAAAAACUUGAACCUUGAUCUGCUCAACCCCACAGUCUGGUGUUUUUCCCCGUGUGCCACGCCCUCGCACACUGUUUUCAUGACUUACCAAAAAUAAAAAUAUUUGUUGGCUCUCUGUUCUGUUCCAUUGGUCUAUAUGUCUGUCCUCUUGCCAGUUUCAUAUUGCCUUUUUUUUUUUAUGGCCACAUCCACGGCAUGGGGAAGUUCCGAGGCCAGGGAGUGAACCUGUGCCACAGCAGCGACAACACCACAUCUUUUUAACCAGCUGUGUCACAAGGGAAUUCAAAAAAAUAAAAAUAAAAUAGAGAAAAAGGAU